GGAGGAAUGGCUGAGUGGUUUAAAGCGGCAGUCUUGAAAACUGUUGUGGGCUUAUGUCCACCGUAGGUUCAAAUCCUACUUCCUCCGCCA
rnacentral:tRNA from 1 species